rnacentral:rRNA from 4 species
UGGUGGGUAGUUUGACUGGGGCGGUCUCCUCCUAAAGAGUAACGGAGGAGCACGAAGGUUGGCUAAUCCUGGUCGGACAUCAGGAGGUUAGUGCAAUGGCAUAAGCCAGCUUGACUGCGAGCGUGACGGCGCGAGCAGGUGCGAAAGCAGGUCAUAGUGAUCCGGUGGUUCUGAAUGGAAGGGCCAUCGCUCAACGGAUAAAAGGUACUCCGGGGAUAACAGGCUGAUACCGCCCAAGAGUUCAUAUCGACGGCGGUGUUUGGCACCUCGAUGUCGGCUCAUCACAUCCUGGGGCUGAAGUAGGUCCCAAGGGUAUGGCUGUUCGCCAUUUAAAGUGGUACGCGAGCUGGGUUUAGAACGUCGUGAGACAGUUCGGUCCCUAUCUGCCGUGGGCGCUGGAGAACUGAGGGGGGCUGCUCCUAGUACGAGAGGACCGGAGUGGACGCAUCACUGGUGUUCGGGUUGUCAUGCCAAUGGCACUGCCCGGUAGCUAAAUGCGGAAGAGAUAA